GACGAACGCUGGCGGCGUGCUUAACACAUGCAAGUCGAACGGAAAGGCCCUGCUUUUGUGGGGUGCUCGAGUGGCGAACGGGUGAGUAACACGUGAGUAACCUGCCCCUGACUUUGGGAUAACUUCAGGAAACUGGGACUAAUACCGGAUAGGAGCUCCUGCUGCAUGGUGGGGGUUGGAAAGUUUCGGCGGUUGGGGCUGGACUCGCGGCUUAUCAGCUUGUUGGUGGGGUAGUGGCUUACCAAGGCUUUGACGGGUAGCCGGCCUGAGAGGGUGUCCGGCCACAUUGGGACUGCGAUACGGCCCAGACUCCUACGGGAGGCAGCAGUGGGGAAUAUUGCACAAUGGGCGGAAGCCUGAUGCAGCAACGCCGCGUGCGGGAUGACGGCCUUCGGGUUGUAAACCGCUUUCGCCUGUGACGAAGCGUGAGUGACGGUAAUGGGUAAAGAAGCACCGGCUAACUACGUG
rnacentral:rRNA from 1 species